GAUGAACGCUAGCUACAGGCUUAACACAUGCAAGUCGAGGGUCCGGCGCACGGGUGAGUAACACGUAUCCAACCUGCCCUUUACUCGGGGAUAGCCUUUCGCAAGAAAGAUUAAUACCCGAUGUAAAGGAUGGGGAUGCGUUCGAUUAGGUUGUUGGUUAGGUAACGGCUCACCAAGCCAUCGAUGGAUAGGGGUUCGGAGAGGAAGGUCCCCCACAUUGGAACUGAGACACGGUCCAAACUCCUACGGGAGGCAGCAGUGAGGAAUAGUGGUCAAUGGGCGUUAGCCUGAACCAGCCAAGUAUCGGGAAGGAUGAAGGCUUAUUGGUCGUAAACUUCUUAUAGAGAAGAAUAUGUAUUAUAUGAAGAAGGAUCGGCUAACUCCGUGCCAGCAGCCGCGGUAAUAC
rnacentral:rRNA from 1 species